UCCGGCUUAUCACCGGCAGUCCCACUAGAGUGCCCAACUGAAUGAUGGCAACUAAUGGCGAGGGUUGCGCUCGUUGCGGGACUUAACCCAACAUCUCACGACACGAGCUGACGACAGCCAUGCAGCACCUGUGCAUGGAUCCCGAAGGAGGCUUCUGGUUUCUCAGAAGUUUCCCAUGCAUGUCAAGCCUAGGUAAGGUUCUUCGCGUUGCGUCGAAUUAAACCACAUGCUCCACCGCUUGUGCGGGCCCCCGUCAAUUCCUUUGAGUUUCAGCCUUGCGGCCGUACUCCCCAGGCGGGGUACUUCCUGCGUUAGCGCCGGCACUGACAAGCAUGCUUGCCAACGGCUGGCAUCCAUCGUUUACGGCGUGGACUAC
rnacentral:misc_RNA from 1 species